rnacentral:rRNA from 1 species
CGAGAAUCUUCCGCAAUGGGCGAAAGCCUGACGGAGCGACGCCGCGUGGAGGACGAAGGCCCUAGGGUUGUAAACUCCUGUCACCGAU